ACCUCUUUGUAUCCUACAGUAACCGGCGGAAGCAUUCAAUCUACCUCUUUAUUUAACAAUCGAUUCUUUUUCAGCUCGCUUCGUCUCUUUAAGCGAUCACUUCCUUUUCCCAAUUUCCUUUUUCAGUUACACAGAUUUCAUUUCACUUCGUCUCGCUUAAUAAUGGAGUUAGAAAGGCAGAUCAAACGAUUGUGAUGCUCUUUUUGGCUGCUGAAUCUCGUGCUCUGUCUGGAAAUUAAGGGAUCUAUUCUGCAAAAGCAUCUUUAGCCAUGCACAUCACCGACCUAAGUGUGAUAAGUAAAUCUAUAUCUGAUAAACAAAGCUCAUUUUCAAUCGCUAAUUGGUAAGCAUAUAUUAUUUGUCUCAUCCCGCAACUAAGAAAACCUUCUCUUCAAAGAAUCAGGAAAAUACCGGCUGUUGUUGAAUGUGUAUUCAGUGGAGAGACGCAGCUAAGCUAUCUAUGUAAUGAGACGCAAACUCAUGCAGAGAGAUGUCGAGAGAUUGAAGUUGAAACCGUGGAUUGAAUCGGUACGUUCUUGGAUCAAUGUGGGAGUUGAAGCAACUAUUCUUGAACAGGCAGAGAGAUAUGCUACAAACCAGAAACUGAAGAUUUGGGAGAAUUAUGUUAAAGGACAAGAACUAUCAAAUGGAAGUACAGCCUUAGAAACCAAACAAAAAAGAGACCUCUGUGAAUAUCUCUCUUCAGCACUACUCAGAUAGUUUUAAUACAUAUGUACUUGGCGGUGGUCGAUUCUAUGUUCAGUCGGUUGGAGACCAGAAACUAGCUUCGAUUCAGAACCAUUUUGCAUCCAUGUGUGUUAAACAUGAUCCCAUCAUCGCAUCCUUCAACUCUAAGAGAGGUGAUAUCGUUCUUGCACAGUUUCUCCUUGACUACUUCUGGAACCGUGCAAUGAUUGUGAGUGCACCACGAGGAGCUGUUGAGAUGAUAAAUUUGAAGUGUUCUACAUCGAUUAUGGAAACCAUGAAGUAGUCCCUAUAGCGCAAUACCACCACUCCACCAGUAGACCCUUCGGUAUCAUUAGCACCAGGGCUUGCUUAGCUCUGGAGACUUGUCUACAUUAAGGUUCCAAGCUUGGAAGAAGAUUGUGGUCCUGAAGAAAAAAGUAUCUUCACUUCUGAUUUUGAGAUGAAGAACCGAGACGCCGUAACCUUUCAGAUGAUACCCGCUUCGUCUAAUGCUUGCUGCAAUCAUUCACAUGUUGAUUGGAAUGUUUCACCGACUCGCCCCUCAUUGGCCAUUAGUGACUUAGAAAAAUUGUGAAAACGUUUAAAGAGUAAAUACGAGCUAAAGAGAAAGCAGAGUAAACAUAGUACUUUUUUUUAGCACAUAAUAAACAUAGUAGUUUAUUCUCUUUA